rnacentral:rRNA from 1 species
AGCAGCCGCGGUAAUUCCAGCUCCAAUAGCGUAUAUUAAAGUUGUUGCAGUUAAAAAGCUCGUAGUUGAAUUUCGGGAUCAAUGUGUUGGUCGUGCCUUGGUACGUACUGGCAUUAUCGAUUCCUACCUUCUGAAGAACCUCGAUGUCAUUAAUUUGGUGUCUUGGGGAAUCAGGACUGUUACUUUGAAAAAUUAGAGUGUUUAAAGCAGGCUCGCGCUUGAAUACAUUAGCAUGGAAUAAUGAAAUAGGACGUUUGAUUCUAUUUUGUUGGUUUCUAGGAUCGACGUAAUGAUUAAUAGGGAUAGUUGGGGGCAUUAGUAUUCAAUUGUCAGAGGUGAAAUUCUUGGAUUUAUUGAAGACUAACUACUGCGAAAGCAUUUGCCAAGGAUGUUUUCAUUAAUCAAGAACGAAAGUUAGGGGAUCGAAGACGAUCAGAUACCGUCGUAGUCUUAACCAUAAACUAUGCCGACUAGGGAUCGGAUGAUGU